UGAGAACACUGUACCUACAGAAGGGUUGCCCCAGGAGCCAGCUAGCAGCAUGGGGGUGGAAGCUCCACAUGUUAAACACAGUCUGCAGCUAUGUUGCUCCCAGACCCUUUGACACUGCUGCUGGGUGACAGAGAAACAAGCCUUCAUCAGAUGACAAGUAGUCUGCAGGCUGUAGAACUAGUGAAGGGAAACUCCCCUACAAAAAUCAAGUCUGUGCAAGAACUACAGUUUUAAAAGGUGCAUAGGAGAUGAAGAUGAUCUUACGAGGGGAAGAUAAGUAUGUAUAUGCAGUUGAAUUGGGAUUAGGACAAUAAGAAGAAACCUGUGCAAGUUUUUCUCUUUUGAAAUUGGGUGUCAAACACUUGGAGCUUUCAGUGAGUAUUCUUUGACUUGGACACAAUCAGAACCUAGAAUAAAUGCUUGGUGAACGAUGCAGUAUCUUACUGUAAAAUUUUUGCAGAAAUACAAUUGAUUAUAAACUGCAUAAAAUAAAACAAGUCCAAAUUUUUAUACCUGCUAUUAUGUACCACCCCACUCACAGUUGCCAAACAAGCUGUUUUUUCACCAUUUUAUAGCUUACAGUUGCCUGUGCAGCUAUAAUUCUC
rnacentral:lncRNA from 1 species